rnacentral:rRNA from 1 species
UAGGGAAUCUUCGGCAAUGGACGAAAGUCUGACCGAGCAACGCCGCGUGAGUGAAGAAGGUUUUCGGAUCGUAAAACUCUGUUGUUAGAGAAGAACAAGGACGUUAGUAACUGAACGCCCCCUGACGGUAUCUAACCAGAAAGCCACGGCUAACUACGUGCCAGCAGCCGCGGUAAUACGUAGGUGGCAAGCGUUGUCCGGAUUUAUUGGGCGUAAAGCGAGCGCAGGCGGUUUCUUAAGUCUGAUGUGAAAGCCCCCGGCUCAACCGGGGAGGGUCAUUGGAAACUGGGAGACUUGAGUGGAGAAGAGGAGAGUGGAAUUCCGUGUGUAGCGGUGAAAUGCGUAGAUAUAUGGAGGAACACCAGUGGCGAAGGCGGCGCUCUGGUCUGUACCUGACGCUGAGGCUCGAAAGCGUGGGGAGCAAACAGG